AUCUGAACCUUCGGGGAACGAUAACGGCGUCGAGCGGCGGACGGGUGAGUAAUGCCUAGGAAAUUGCCCUGAUGUGGGGGAUAACCAUUGGAAACGAUGGCUAAUACCGCAUGAUGCCUACGGGCCAAAGAGGGGGACCUUCGGGCCUCUCGCGUCAGGAUAUGCCUAGGUGGGAUUAGCUAGUUGGUGAGGUAAGGGCUCACCAAGGCGACGAUCCCUAGCUGGUCUGAGAGGAUGAUCAGCCACACUGGAACUGAGACACGGUCCAGACUCCUACGGGAGGCAGCAGUGGGGAAUAUUGCACAAUGGGCGCAAGCCUGAUGCAGCCAUGCCGCGUGUGUGAAGAAGGCCUUCGGGUUGUAAAGCACUUUCAGUCGUGAGGAAGGURGUGUAGUUAAUAGCUGCAUUAUUUGACGUUAGCGACAGAAGAAGCACCGGCUAACUCCGUGCCAGCAGCCGCGGUAAUACGGAGGGUGCGAGCGUUAAUCGGAAUUACUGGGCGUAAAGCGCAUGCAGGUGGUUUGUUAAGUCAGAUGUGAAAGCCCGGGGCUCAACCUCGGAAUAGCAUUUGAAACUGGCAGACUAGAGUACUGUAGAGGGGGGUAGAAUUUCAGGUGUAGCGGUGAAAUGCGUAGAGAUCUGAAGGAAUACCGGUGGCGAAGGCGGCCCCCUGGACAGAUACUGACACUCAGAUGCGAAAGCGUGGGGAGCAAACAGGAUUAGAUACCCUGGUAGUCCACGCCGUAAACGAUGUCUACUUGGAGGUUGUGGCCUUGAGCCGUGGCUUUCGGAGCUAACGCGUUAAGUAGACCGCCUGGGGAGUACGGUCGCAAGAUUAAAACUCAAAUGAAUUGACGGGGGCCCGCACAAGCGGUGGAGCAUGUGGUUUAAUUCGAUGCAACGCGAAGAACCUUACCUACUCUUGACAUCCAGAGAACUUUCCAGAGAUGGAUUGGUGCCUUCGGGAACUCUGAGACAGGUGCUGCAUGGCUGUCGUCAGCUCGUGUUGUGAAAUGUUGGGUUAAGUCCCGCAACGAGCGCAACCCUUAUCCUUGUUUGCCAGCGAGUAAUGUCGGGAACUCCAGGGAGACUGCCGGUGAUAAACCGGAGGAAGGUGGGGACGACGUCAAGUCAUCAUGGCCCUUACGAGUAGGGCUACACACGUGCUACAAUGGCGCAUACAGAGGGCGGCCAACUUGCGAAAGUGAGCGAAUCCCAAAAAGUGCGUCGUAGUCCGGAUUGGAGUCUGCAACUCGACUCCAUGAAGUCGGAAUCGCUAGUAAUCGUGGAUCAGAAUGCCACGGUGAAUACGUUCCCGGGCCUUGUACACACCGCCCGUCACACCAUGGGAGUGGGCUGCAAAAGAAGUAGGUAGUUUAAC
rnacentral:rRNA from 1 species